rnacentral:lncRNA from 1 species
AUGUCAAUUAUUUAUCUUAAUUUAUCAAACGAACCCUCAAAGCUUAAACAUUCUCAAUAUUUUGCCGCAAAGUAAUAAAACAUCAAUUCGCAUUCCAAUUCGAACCUUCUUUGCAAAGAGAAGUUUUAUUAGGAAGAUGAAGGGUCAUUAUUGUAGCAUUAUAACAUUACAAAUAAAGGACAAAUUCAUUAUUGUAGCACAUAACAUUAUUUACUACAAUUUCAAUCAUAUAAGGCGUCUGCAUAAUGUGAGACCAUCUCCGAUGGAUAUCUGAGCGAUUUCGACUCGAGGAUCUCGAGCCAAAAUCUUGUUGAACUCUAAAAGUGCUUCUCUAUAAGCUCUCAUAUGGCUUGGAACUUCGUUUUCCUUUUGAAUUAGAGUACCAAACCAUAAGGUGUUAUCGAACGCAAUGAUUCCUCCAACCUUCACUAACUUAAGCAGCUUCUCAAGGAAGUAAACGUAAUUCGUCUUGUCAGCAUCCACAAAUGCAAAAUCAUACUCUUGUUUCUCCUUGACCAUUAUCCAAAAUGUAUUGAAUAGAUUAGUCGAUUUAAUCAAAAAUUAUGGACCGAAUAAACAAAUGAUGUCUUUUCAGAUUUAUUAUUAAAAAGCUAGAAUAUGUUAAAAGUAUGAAAUACUUUUCAAACAAUAUUUCAUGAGUAAAAAAAAAUAGUAAUUUAGUGGUCCUAAACCAUUACCUUAAAAAUGACCAUUAGCUUAGUUUUUAAUCGUGUGCGUUGUACUAAUUAUUAGUAAGUAAUAUACGUACCCCGUUCAAUAAUUGGUCUAAGCCUCUAACAGCAUCAGAUUGAAUGAAAUUGAUCUUGUGAUCAACACCUGCUUUCUUCAUAAACUCUAGCCCCAAAUUGUAACCUGCUUGGUCAAUGUCUAUCGCAGUAAUCUGCAUACAGAAAACAAAAACAAAAUUAAUCAUAACAAUUAGUAACCCUAGCAUGAAUAAUUGUAAUUUUUGUUUGUCUGAUUAGCAAGAAGAAUCAUUACACGGCCAUCUUCAGGCAAAGCAAGAGCUACGGUGAAAAGUGAGUAACCCGUGAACACACCGAUCUCGAUAGUGUUUUUCGCAUUGAUGAUCUUUACAAGCAUCGAUAGAAAUAGACUUUCAUCAACCGGAACCCCCAUCUCGCUUCUGCGUUUAUAAAAUCGUUAUGAAUCAUAUAUCUUAAUUUACUGAUUACAUAAUCAAAUGAUUUAGGACUUACAAAUUGCCAUAUCUUUGGAUUGUAGCUUCUCGAAGUUCUUUAAGCAAUGCGUGCUCUCUUGGAUACGCUGUCGUUUCCAUAAUGUACUGUCAUAUAUAUGUAACACAUCAUGCAGUCGUAUAAGCAAGCACAUAUAUUUGUAAAUCUAUAGAUCAUUUUUAGAUGAUUAUGGGACUAGUAAAUCAAAACCUGUUUAAGAGCCUCGCUCUUGAGAAUCCCUUUGUCAGGUAAUCGACCAUCCAUCUCUCU